rnacentral:lncRNA from 1 species
CUCAGAGUCACAUGGAUAAUGGAGACGUGGUAUGAGCUACUCCUGAAAACAAUGAUGGAAUGAAUGCAUUUUAAGUCCUUUGAGAAACACUGGUUCUGAGAGUUGUAAUCAGAAGUCGAAAAUUGGAAGUCACUGGACAGAUCAGAGAAAACAAGAAGAGCGAGGUCAGCAGUCUGAAGCUACGUCACAGUCAUUCAAUCUGUGCUCCCUGUGUACCUUCAUACCGUCCACAAGGCUCCUCACCAUCUCCGUCUGGGCUGCUAUCUCUUCCAUCAACAGGUAUGUCAUCCUGGUGCAACCAUGAUGAGAUCAGGAAAAGGAGGAAUAUAGCCAGAAGCAGAGAAAUGCUGCCGCUGAGCGGGUCUACUCUCAUUGCUGCCAAGACAGAAAAUUCUGCCCAGAUUUGGGCUACUGUAUGUCCACUUGGGGAACCAGGGAGACUCACCCCAUAUUGAGCGGAGAGCGAUGGACAAUGGUUUACCACUAGUCAAGUGAAGCUGGUAAAGACCAACACCAUGGCUAUUGAGAGGACCACGGGAUACGAUGCUUGUAAUUCAUGAAACACAGUAUGGCAGUCUCACCACAUUUGGGUGCUGAUUCCUGUGUGUACUUUGUGCUGGAUAAAGACUUACUGCUCCACUGGCAACUAAACUUCCUUUGAAUCUUGUGAAUUAUCACCUGCG